UUCUUUGUUACUGGACUGUAGCUGAUACCUUUCUUGGGUGACUGGAACAAAGGCAAAUAUAUCUGCUGCCACUUACUGUUACAGGGGUAUGCAAUGGAAUUCUGUCUUUUGUAUUGUUAUGUUUUCUGAGACUUUAAAAUAUGCACAUCUACUUUAUCACUGAAACUGUUAAGUUGUGGAUUGGCAUUGAGGAUGCCACUGGGUUUGUCUCAGCCUUGGGCAGGAUGGCGGCCAAGCUUGGCUACACGUGGUACCACGUUUCUGGCAGGGCUCUGUGCUAGGAAAAGCCCUGACUCCUGCUGUGGAGCUGAGGCUGGCAUAAGCUGGACUUCUUUGGCUGUACUGACCUUAUAGCACAAGGUCUGCUCUUCAGGUGUGGCUUUUUUUCAGCAGUAUGAAGAAUGUACUGUUUUGUUCAGAACUGCACCUUGGGCACUCUACAGUAAAUAGAUGGUUGCUCCAUCUUCCUUUUGGUAUUUGUUUUGUGAAGUGCUCUCUUUUCUGACUUGAAGUUAUGUGGUACUGCUGAUGUCUGCUUUGCUGGUCUCCUUUCCUGAUGCAUUUGGAUUUGUGUUUUGUAAGGGAGAAGCAGUUGUGCUUAGUGAGACGAUGCUCCAGGUUCUGCUUUUCAUGGACAGUCUCCCUUAAUGCUGCCCUGAUCAUCAGAGUAACUAUCAACAGAGACUGAUGAGAAGGGGAUUCAGUAAUUUGACUUUUCUUUUUAAUGAACAGCAGCACAGCCAUUCGAGACAGCGUAAUUAGAGCUGUAUUUUGCAGUGCCUGAUUGUAAUUCAGGCUGAGGGAUAAGUGGUGACAGUGAAUGAUACUGUCUUCUAUGCUAACACACACUGUGAAGAUCUCAGCAAAGCUGAACCUGGUUUGUGCUGUAGUAUCUUACCUUUGGGUGGACAGGAGUAGCCCUUGAAAAGACAGCAAAAUGGCAAGAGAUGGAAGAACUUAGCCUUAGAGGGAAAAGUGGUAAAAAUGUGCUUGGAGCGGAACAGCUGAAGCUGCUCUAUGAUGUAAGACUUGAGGCAACAAUGAGGAGUAAGAAGAUGGAAGUCAAGAAAACAUGGGCUCUUCACUAGGCACAGCUCCCCAGUAGAAACUGAGCUGCCUGCCCUUGGGCAUUCAGCUGAUGAGCUUGAUUGCAACUCAAAUUGCUGCUGAGGAGAUCCUGGUGAGCAAAAUCAAAUUCCUGGAGCUGGGAGCUGCUCCUUGCCAGGCCUUAUCCUCCCUACAUGGCUCUGCUGUGUCUACCAGUGCUGCCCAGGUCCUUUCAAGGAUGAUGGAGAUGAGGAUCUUGACGAAUCAUCUUUCCUGCACUUCUAGAAAAAUUAAGCCAAACUGCUAUUGUAUUUUGCAUGCCUUGCGAAGCUGGCUGCCUGUAGCAAAUUUCCUGUCAUGACAUGCCAGAAAAGAUGAUGCCUUUAUCAGGUACUGUUUCCCAUUAAAACCCUUUAAAAGCUAGCAGUGCUGCGAGCACCAAUUUCUGCCUUGUUGCGCUCAUGCAGGCCCUGUGCUGCACAAGUGCUAUGUUCACAGUGACUGUGCUCAGCAUCCUUAUCCUCCUCCUGGCUUGGGCACUCUGCAGGCUUUGCACUGAGCAAGCUCCUGCUCCAGGGCCUUGCUAGUGGUGCUCCCUGCUCUGUCUUGGCCUUGCACCUGAUGCUCUGUCUGCAGUCCCGGCAGCUGGGGCAGGCUGUUUUCCAGCCAUCUGCUGCCUUAUCAGCCCAUGUUGCCAGGUCCCUGGGAGGAGAACUGGUGCAUUUUUAAGCAUCGUGUCACCUUUUUGUCACACUCCGGCCCUGUGGUUAAAAUGUGGCCUGCUGUGUGUAGGUCUUAAAUACACUGGAGUGAUAAAAUCCUUUUUUUCUUUGGUUCAAAUGCCAUGAAAAUAAAACUGCUUGCUCAUAUCACUCAUAAUUCAGCCUUGUUUUCCCUCUGCCUCUUGUUUUUCUAUCAAUAUGCAGCCUGCUUUGCUGCAGGAGGUGCCAUUUGAUGGAAGGGCUGUGCUGAUCAGAGCGAAAGGC